CAGAACCACGACAGCUUUUCCAAAAUCCACAGAGCUUCUCCAAACUUGAUUGUGAUGCAAGCAAAAGCUAUGUCUAAGCACAGAUUUUACUGCCCUGUUUGCUGAUCCACAUGCAGAUACAGCUGUCUCUGUUGCAAGGAAAGCUCUUCUGAGGCCUAAUUGUGUACUGCCUCACACAGCUGUCAUAAACACUCAAGAAGAAAGGUGUAAGCUCCUUGGGAAAUUCCUGAAGAAGUAGCCCUUGAUAUGGCUGAUAGCCUCAUCCCAAGCAGGAGCAAACCUCCAGAGGUCUGCAGCCAGCUGGAACAGCCCACCUGGGAAAUAAAAGAAGAAAUGGGGCCAGCUGAAUCUUCAAUAUUUGCUCAGUCUGACUUGCAGGUAAACCACAAGCACCCAAUGUUAAGGAUGGAGGCGGCAUUCAGCAGAUAAAGAAGGGAGGUACAAGAACUCCUAUGCCUAUCCCUGACAAUCGGUCACUGAAGCAUUUAAUGGAAAUUCUGACAUCUGAGUCAAUAUAUAACUGUGAACCUUAAUAAUGAAACACACCUUGAGUUUUCAAAGUGGCUGGAAGUAUUUCAGAGGAAAGUUAAAUAGUAUUAAAGGAAA